AAGCGUACGCGUCCAUGUUGGUUUUAUUUAUCCAGAUUAAAGAUGUUUCUAAACGUUUCUUUAAACGUCGUAUAAGUUAACGUAAUUUUAUUUUUUCACAUCAUGGCUUUACCGUCGGCACUUUCGUAUUAAAUUAUAGCGGCGUUUGGAAACAUAUUCAUUUUAACAAGACACUGACACAAAUAGCACAAAAGGUUAAUAUAUUUCCGCUUUUGUAAGUAAAUAUUUUUCCAGGAACCACUCGUAUAUAAUUCCCAGGACACAAAUAGUGGUUGCAAUGCUUGUUUAACAAUUUUUAAAUAUAUUCACUUGUUUCCCCAACAGUGAUCACACGCGGCCAACAAAAAUAAAUUAAGUGUGACAAAGUCAAUAACGAGUGUGUGCUGCGUCUUAUUGCGGUGUUUCUUGCGAGUGGACUGAGUGGCAGCAACUCUAUCUCUUGCAAUGCUUCGCUUGCUUAGAUGGAGCACCAGCACCGCACGUCGUCUCCUCUCACAGAUACUGCUGCAGAUGCUUACACAGAUACAUUUUAAAAUACAACACAAGCGCACAGAUACAUGUGCAAGUGCGUCACAGAUUCAAGUGUAUAGCUACAGAUCACGAACAGUCAGCGAAGGCGGGCAGAUCGAAGAUGGCCAUACAAUAUACACAAAACAGAAUACACAUUCACACAUACUAAUUUAAGAUACUUUUUGCCCUUAGAGCUGACGAUUUGGCUACUUUUCCGCUACAACCGAAUAAGGCUCAGCUCUCUCUCCCGAUCUGGUCCAAUGGCAGACGUAAAAACGAUCGGCACGCCGCUCCCACAUUGCGACUCUCUGGAUUUCCCAUCUCGCUGUCCUACAGUCGUCUCUCUCCCUAUCUAUCCCUUCACAAUAUUAUGCUCUCUUUGAUUUUUUCUUGGUGUGUGGUGGCAUGUAUAUGGAUAAGUUUUCAUGUGUACAUAUACAUACAUACCAUAUAUAAACACACAUGCAUACUGCAUACAUACUCUUAAAAAUUCGAAAUGAGUAGCGCCAAGGGUAUAGUAUACCUUUGCUCAAUUAAUACAAAAAAAUAAUAAUGAAGAAAUUACUUCGUUGCAUCCGGGCUUAUGAUGCCAACGAACAUGAUGAGGUAAAUGUGUAUAUUACCAUCUAUACUUAAAAUAAAAUAAAAGUCAGGCAUACAUACUCUUCUCAUCUGAAUGGAAAAUGCGCAGCAUAAAUGUAUAAUUCCUUUUAGACUAUCUAUUCAUUUAAAUUUGAGUGCAUAUUAUAAUAAAAAUUUCUUAACAUA